rnacentral:sRNA from 1 species
UCAGUGCACCAAACUGGAGGGUGAGAAUCCCCGAUGGGUUCGAGCCGAGCGAAGCGAGACAACGGAGCUUGCGACGGCCCGCAGGGUGAGCGCAGCGAAUAAUCCCUCCAGGCGGCCA